rnacentral:lncRNA from 1 species
GUUGAAAACCAUAAUUCUACCCAAAGAGCCGUGUCUCACCCUGCAUACAUUGUAGGAGUUGGGGGAGUUGAACUUCAGCUUCAAACCAGGCAUUUAAAACUUUUAGCAACCCUAAGGGAUUGUUUCUGCGAUCUCCCUCUGAUCUUCAGGGAAAUGGAGGCAAAACCUGCCUAAGGACCUACAGCUCCUAAGUAGUGGAGUCCCAGUAUUAGACCUGGGUUCUGUCUGUUCCGAGCCUGUGCUCCCUCUGCCAAACCAAUCCCUUGAUAAUGCUACAUACGUUGUUUUGAGUUCUGUUGUUUUUCACUUAAUGUAUCAAAAGCAUUUCACUGUGUUUCUAUAAUAUUCAUGAUAAUCUUUUUAAAUGACUACAUGAUUUUUUACCUCAUGCUGACGUACUUUAAUGUAAACCAGUCCCUGAAAAGUUGAAUGUUUAUUUCUAAUUUCUUUGAUGUUGGAAAUCGAGUGGUGAGUUCUGAAACUCCCUCUUGUCCCCUAAAAGGAGCAGCUGGCCUGGUGCAGAUGUAGCCUUUUGAGGGUCUCCAUGUUUGGGGAAUGUGUCUCCCUGUGUCAGGGAAGGCUCAUAGAAGGAGAGCUUGGAUUCUUAUCCUUGACCCUCUGGCUUCUGGUUCAAGACAUACUUCUUUGCUGGGCCCUUCAGAAACCCCUCAUCUUCCCCUCUUCCUCAGGGAGAGCCAAAAUCAUCUGCCAGGUCUCUUUUUACCCACCAGUUUGAUCGUCUUACUCCCUAGUCCCAAAUCCAUUCUCUAUGCUUAAAAUCCUUCCUGCCUUCCCUCUUCCAAGUCUUCUCUACCCACUUCUGUCCAGCUUUUAAAUCAGCUCAACAUCUAUAGCCUCCAGUCCCUCUGCCAAUGUUGAUUUCUCCUUGCCCCAAACUCCCUGAAACUCCACCCUUUUCAACUUGACACCAAAUUGCAGACUGUCAUAUGAAUUCCUGUCUCCCCAAAACCAGGUAAUGAAGGAGGCAGAAGGGCCUACCAUUUAUGCGCCCAUUAUGUACCAGGCACUGUCCAGCUCUUGUCUCAUUUAAUCCUCGUAACGACCCAUUUGAGGUGGGAUUCAUUAUCCCCUGCUUACAAGAAGAGGGGUUAAGUUGUUUGCUCAAAGUUACCCAAGCCCAGGCAAGAGGAAAUGAGUGUCAUGUAAGUGGCAGAACUCCCAAAUGGCAGGGACAAUUUCUUUAACUUCUUAUCCAUUCCCUUUUAUGAUCAGUGUGCAGGGCAAAUAGAGAGCAAUCAGUUUAGAGCACUUCUGAGAGAAAAAUGUCUGGAAAAUAUCAGGGAGUCAUUUAUCAACCUGUUUUCAUUAGC